GUUAAAGCACAGGACGUCAAGGGUUCACCAUUUGUGCUAAAUGUGAAAAGGAAGUUCAGAUGUCACCGUGGCAUAUUCCAUUGUUGUUCCUUCUGCUCCAGCGGGGGCACUAAAGAGGCACGCUGUGGCUGCACAGGAACUAUGCCAGGAGGGUUUCAGGGUUGUGGACAUGGUCAUACAGGACACCCCGGUAAGCCCCACUGGUCAUGUUGUGGGAGUGUAGUGGAGGCCUCAGAGUGUAUUCUACAUAACCUGGGCAGCGUUUCUCCUCGUGGACACCUCAGGACUGUGGAGCUCUGAGACAAACAGCAAAUAUACACUCUAUCUGAUCAACAUAACCAUAAACUCAUGCACAUACUUGAAUCUUCUCAACCAGCCUAAUUCACAAUGAAAAAUCAGAUUGUGCUUUUCAUGUUGCCCUUAUUCAUACAGACUUUAAGCCUUAAUUUGUGUGAUAAAUAUUUUUUGUUGUUUCAGCAGUGCUAAUAUUCAGAAUCAUGGCAGUCUCAUAAACUGCAGUAGGCAAAGUAUAUUUAAAAUUGUGUUGUCUAUUGUGCAUCGUGCCAACACUAAAUACUUAAGUACUGUCAGUAUUGUAAAAAUGUAACUAUUUUCUCUACACAUUUUAAUGUCUGGCAUUUUGUAGUUCCGUAUUUUAUCAUAAUCAGCAUGUUUCCUUUGAUAUUACCCAGCUAUAUGACCAAUGAGGUAUGUGUUAUUAUAAUGCUUUAUUUUAUAUGCUCCAAAAGCUGCCUUUGUAAUUGUAUGCAUCUAUUACAUUUCAGUUGUUUUUGUAUACACUGCAUCAGUGCCACAGAUUAAACAACACUUACCUCUCCACUUGUGUGGUAACUAAACUGGCACUUUUAAGAUUAUCAUUUUGAUUGUUAAUGUAAUAUGUUUUGCAUAGUGUAUACUCCAUGUAGUGUGGUCUAUAAAACAUGCAUAUAAGACAUAUUUUAAU